UCCACUUUAAAGAAACUUGGUUACGCGGAAAAACACAGCAAAACAGACAGGAGCAUCAGUGCCCAAACCUUGAUACAAGAGCAAGUUGCUGUCCCCAGGCUGCUUUUCUCUAGGUUGCUUCUUCAUCAUGCUGGGGGUAACUUGUCGCACACACUACCAUUGCUGUUUCACAGCAUUCAGGUUAUCCUAGACACAGUGUUCCUGGGAUAGGAAACAUGAAAUGGGACUCCAUAAUGAGAGCACAUGGUAGGACUGGAUCCCUACCACGAGAAGGAGAUAUGACUUGAUCUUGCCUGAAGGAACAGCAAGAUUUCAGAUGCAGUGUACACUGGGAAUACGGAAACUGAGAGACUUGUUGUCCAAUGAAGUAAAUGGCAACAUCCAUUUAUGUCAAAUGGAGACUGAUGACAAAGGUGACAGGGAAGUCUCGUUCUUUAUCUUUUCCAUCCAUGGAUCUUGUUGGCAAAGGCCUUUACCCUCUAUUAUGGUACUUAAUUACUAAAUAAAUCUCUGGUUUCCAAUUACUCAGCACAUUAAGAAUCCAUAUAUGCUUUAUACGGUAUUUAAAAUACAGAAGGCUAACUUUUUCCCCAGUUUUUAACCUGAUCAAACUUCUUAUCUGGAAGAUGAUUCUUACCUUACAGGUUUCAAUGCAGCUGAAAGACAAAUAGAUGUAGUCAUCUAGAUACAAAUUACCUGCCCUCUAACCUAACUUACUUUGAACAUCCUUGGCUUUAAUGAUUACAGAAGCAUUUGUGCUGAUUGCAUGGUUUUACUCUCAUACACAGAGUGGACAUGAAAGUAGUAAAGAAUCUAUUUUCUAGA